CAAACGGCUCUUUUCAGAGCCACCAAAUUAAUUAACAGGACAUCU
rfam:Cerapachys biroi unplaced genomic scaffold scaffold17, whole genome shotgun sequence.